GUGACGUCUUGUUUGUUGACACUUUCAUUAGCUAGCCACCUGUGCAACGUCAUUGCAGUAGGGGAACAUCGGUCCUCGAACUGUCAGACAUUAUUUUCUGCCUGGAAACACUAUAAACUAAUCGGAAGAGCGAGAGAGAAAGAGUUGGAUCUCGUGGGGUCGAUUGCGAGGGUAUGGGGGGAGGCCAGAGUCAUGAGAGGAGUCUGCCAGAGAAGGGGGAGAGGGUGGGGUCUUUAUCCACAUCCCAGGAUUCCCAGAGACAACCCGCCUCAGAGAGCACCACUGUAGAGGAGCGUUACCCAGAAGCCCCAGCCCAGCUGCCCCAGUGCCAGAUGGGUAGCAGAAAGGUGGAUGACAUGUGUUUCAUGAUCUCCUGCACCAACUGGUACUAAGACACUAUGGACCAGCUGUUGCUUUUCUGCGCUGUCUGAAAUGAACCUCAAUUUGACCUGUGCUGCCUCUCCUGUCAUUGUUUACUGCUAUAUAGUUGAAUGCAGUUUCGAGGUUUUAGAGCACUUUAAAUCUUGUACUUUAAUUGCUGAUGCUUGAAGCACCCCCCCCCCACACCCAGGACCUUUGUCAUACAAUUACUGUAAAGACAUUUUGUAAAAUUUGCCUUAAAGAUUCUGUAAAGUGGAAUUGAAAAUGAGUUUUAAGUUCAUCACACUACAGAAAAAUGUGUUGUUAACUACCCAUCCAAAUUCAAAUGAAAAAAAAACACAGACAAGUAUGUUAAAUUAGGCUUUGAAAUCGUGAGAAAAUCAGCAGUCUUCUCUGCUUGACACUGGGGGGGGCGUGUCGCCUGAAGGAGUUGAAGCUCCGCCCCCUCCAAUUUAUUGAAUUUAGCAAGACAGCAACACUAGCUAAAUCAAUUGCAGAUAUCAGAACAGACCUACCUGCAGUCUCUGAGUGUUUUAUGUGUUAAUUACUCGAUUAGUCUUUGCAUCGUACCAGCUGAGUAACAGAAUGCAACCGUCUGUGAUCUGACGUAGAUAGGUCGCUGUGACGUAAAGCGGUCGGGUUUUGGCUCCGCCUAUACAAAACCUGAGCUGAAAACGGUAGAGAAAUUGUUCAACGGUCUAACUCCACAUUGCGACAGAGUUUUCGUGCUCUGCACAUGCUUUCAGGAACUCAUUUCACACAUAUAUAAUGUACUGAGAAGCAAAUCAUGGAAUUUGCUUUACAGAAUCUUUAAUUGUAUAAUUAAAGCAUAAUUGUGAUUUAAUGCUGUGCGUCACCCCACCUGCAUGAAGAAGUAAAUAUACUGUAAAUAUACCUAUAAUAAAAUAAUCAGUCAUGCAGAUAA